AAUUUGUUUAACACAAAUUGUAGCUACAGGUAUAUAUAAUGGUGCAAGAGUGUUGUAUUUCUAGUGUUACAUUCGCCUCAUAGUGAAUAUCACCAUCAAUUGCGGCCAAACGGACGAAAUAUCACCUUCUUCAAUAAAAAAUAAACGCUAUGUUCGCCAAACUUUUAUUGCUGGCGGUCUUCUGCCUGAGCAGCGUCUUCCACUCACUCGCGCAGUGGCCCCCGGGAUAUUAUUAUCGUAACCCAUCCCCAUACGCUGAUGGUCGUUCUGAUUACUUCAAGGAUAUUCGUCCUAUUGGGCGAUAAGCUUGACCUCCCUCUAUACCUUGGAGACAGCUAAUUGAAUUUUUAAAUAUUGUUUCAAAACACAUUUCCGGUAAAUAAAUAAAAGAACAUUCUAAAAAAAAACAAAA